rnacentral:lncRNA from 1 species
UGGGAAUGAUAAGGGCUGAUGACUUCACCGCAUAACGAGCAGAUCCUGAGCUGAGCAGUCUUGCAGAACACCUGGAGGGCAAGACUGACUUUGUUCCGAAGGAAAUGAAAGCGUCGAAUGAGGUUCACAAUUAAGGCCCAUCGUGCCAUGAGCGAUGUGCUCACCCCUGGUGUGUCGUCGGGCGGCGAGCAGCGGCGAGGGAGCCGCGUGGCAGAGCAGCAGCACGAGGAGCAACUCGCCGACGGGUGGCUGCAUGGCCGGCGCCUAGGUGCGCUCCUCAUCACGCUGCCGCGCCGCCAUGGGACGGACGAUCAAAAUGGCGGCCGCUUCGGAGCAGCCGUGAGCUCAAGCGAGCUGCGGCGGCCGUGCGACGAUGUGCGCCACCAUGAGACCGCGCUCCCCCACCCGAGAUCGAUCACCGUCAUCGGGAGUCCUCUCACGUGACUCUUCCCUCAGAUCCCGCGGUGUACUGCGAGGGACAGUCACCAGGCCGCGCCACCAGUCUCAGCUGGGGCGUGCCCCGUUGACGUGGUGUUGCUCCUCAGUAGUACUCCCUCUCGAAGUGGCUUUUCGCACUAAAGGUGUAAUCGCCAAUGGCGACCGUUGCCGGGAUCGCGCGCAUUCGUAGCGAAUGCAUGUUCAUGUGAACGUCGUCAGUGUUUCUAUUCGCUGCGAUCGAUAACGGCCCUUUAAUGCGAAGCAUUCUUUGGAAAUUUCCACGCCAUUUUCGUGGCUAACACGUAACGUAUUCCCCAUAAAAAUACAUUUGGGGCAGAUACACGGUAAACAUGGACGAAAGAAGGGAAACGGUUCGUGGGGCCCGUUUCUCGGUUUGUUCUUGUUGGGCACAACCUAAAGCGCAGGAUUGUGUAGGUGGCGUUGUUUGUAGUACUU